rnacentral:rRNA from 1 species
AGUAACGCGUAUCCAACCUGCCCACCACUUGGGGAUAACCUUGCGAAAGUAAGACUAAUACCCAAUGAUAUCUCUAGAAGACAUCUGAAAGAGAUUAAAGAUUUAUCGGUGAUGGAUGGGGAUGCGUCUGAUUAGCUUGUUGGCGGGGUAACGGCCCACCAAGGCAACGAUCAGUAGGGGUUCUGAGAGGAAGGUCCCCCACAUUGGAACUGAGACACGGUCCAAACUCCUACGGGAGGCAGCAGUGAGGAAUAUUGGUCAAUGGACGAGAGUCUGAACCAGCCAAGUAGCGUGCAGGAUGACGGCCCUAUGGGUUGUAAACUGCUUUUAUAAGGGAAUAAAGUGAGUCUCGUGAGACUUUUUGCAUGUACCUUAUGAAUAAGGACCGGCUAAUUCCGUGCCAGCAGCCGCGGUAAUACGGAAGGUCCGGGCGUUAUCCGGAUUUAUUGGGUUUAAAGGGAGCGUAGGCCGGAGAUUAAGCGUGUUGUGAAAUGUAGACGCUCAACGUCUGCACUGCAGCGCAAACUGGUUUCCUUGAGUACGCACAAAGUGGGCGGAAUUCGUGGUGUAGCGGUGAAAUGCUUAGAUAUCACGAAGAACUCCGAUUGCGAAGGCAGCUCACUGGAGCGCAACUGACGCUGAAGCUCGAAAGUGCGGGUAUCGAACAGGAUUAGAUACCCUGGUAGUCCGCACGGUAAACGAUGGAUGCCCGCUGUUGGUCUGAAUAGGUCAGCGGCCAAGCGAAAGCAUUAAGCAUCCCACCUGGGGAGUACGCCGGCAACGGUGAA